AACUCUGAGCGGUGGAUCACUCGGCUCGUGUGUCGAUGAAGAGCGCAGCCAACUGUGUGAAUUAAUGCAAACUGCAUACUGCUUUGAACAUCGACAUCUUGAACGCAUAUUGCGGA
rnacentral:rRNA from 1 species